UUCACCACAACUCAAUCUGAAGAGGUAGCAUCUUCUUCACCUUCAGAUCCAGAAUUGCCACUAGAAUUGUCUUAAGAAUCAGACCUCUCACUUGAGGUAUGGGCAUCUGUUUCCUUGGCUUAACUAAUAGUGGUUGUCCUACAGACUUCAUUGUCUGUGGCUUCUAAUUCAACAACUCCUUAUGUUCCUCUUCCUAGGAACUUAUUGAUUAUAGUUGGGGAGACCCUUACACACCUUCCUCUAACAAAC
rnacentral:lncRNA from 1 species